rnacentral:rRNA from 1 species
AUACAGAGGGUGCGAGCGUUAAUCGGAAUUACUGGGCGUAAAGCGCGCGUAGGCGGCUUGGUCAGUCGGAUGUGAAAGCCCCGGGCUCAACCUGGAAAUGGCAUUCGAUACUGCCAGGCUAGAGUAUGGGAGAGGGAAGUGGAAUUUCCGGUGUAGCGGUGAAAUGCGUAGAUAUCGGAAAGAACACCAGUGGCGAAGGCGACUUCCUGGCCCAAUACUGACGCUGAGGUGCGAAAGCGUGGGGAGCGAACAGGAUUAGAAACCCCAGUAGUCC